CAGGGCCUGGUCAGUGCGGCCGAGGCCGGGCAGCUUGAGGCCGCCGACGCGGCGGUGGCACUUGCCAUCGAAGUCGAUGCCUUCGACUCGCUCUGACC
rnacentral:tRNA from 1 species